UUCUUUCUCCCAGCCUGUGCUGACUCAGCGCCCUCCCUCACUGCAUUGCCUGGAGCAUCAGCCACACUCACCUGCACCCUGAGCAGUGGGGCUUCAGUGUUGGUGACUGCAAUGUACUGCUUCCAGCAGAGGCCAGGGAGUCCUCCCAGGUUUCUCUUGAGAUACUCCUCAAACUCUAGUAAGCUACAGGGCUCUGGGGUCCCAUCUGCUUCUCUGGAUCCAAAGAUGCCUCAGCCAAUGCAGGGAUUCUGCACAUCCUUGGGCUGCAGCCUGAGGACAAGGCUUACUAUUA
rnacentral:lncRNA from 1 species